UGUUGGUAUCUUAGUGGCGGACGGGUGAGUAACGCGUGGGUAACCUGCCUUACACUGGGGGAUAACACUUAGAAAUAGGUGCUAAUACCGCAUAACAGGAGAAGACGCAUGUCUUUUCCUUGAAAACUCCGGUGGUGUAAGAUGGACCCGCGUCUGAUUAGCUGGUUGGCGGGGUAACGGCCCACCAAGGCGACGAUCAGUAGCCGGCCUGAGAGGGUGAACGGCCACAUUGGGACUGAGACACGGCCCAAACUCCUACGGGAGGCAGCAG
rnacentral:rRNA from 1 species